AUAUUCUCAACCAUUGGCUCGGGUUUAUUCCCUUGCUAAUCGUGUUGGAUUUGAGGGUGUUGUGUCGGUCCACUUCAUUUAUUUGAAGACGGUCGACUCCCUUUAAAAGCAUUUGUGGGUCUGACCUUUGUGGAUAUGCCUCGAUUUGAUAAUUAUCAAGAUGUCGUCGCAGUGAAACAAAAGACUUGCUAUCUAACUGUCCCUGACAAGGACUGCUUGAUUCUUCAAGCAAUAAGAGUCGCUGCUUUCGGGCUUGACUUGUAAAAU
rnacentral:misc_RNA from 1 species